GUAGGCAACCUGCCCCUCAGACUGGGAUAACUACCGGAAACGGUANCUAAUACCGGAUAAACGUUUUCUUCUCCUGAAGAGACCGGGAAAGACGGAGCAAUCUGUCACUGAGGGAUGGGCCUGCGGCGCAUUGGCUAGUUGGUGGGGUAACGGCUCACCAAGGCGACGAUGCGUAGCCGACCUGAGAGGGUGAUCGGCCACACUGGGACUGAGACACGGCCCANACUCCUACGGGAGGCAGCAGUAGGGAAUCUUCCGCAAUGGACGAAAGUCUGACGGAGCAACGCCGCGUGAGUGAUGAAGGUUUUCGGAUCGUAAAGCUCUGUUGCCAGGGAAGAACGUCGGAUAGAGUAACUGCUAUCCGAGUGACGGUACCUGARAAGAAAGCCCCGGCUAACUACGUGCCAGCAGCCGCGGUAAUACGUAGGGGGCAAGCGUUGUCCGGAAUUAUUGGGCGUAAAGCGCGCGC
rnacentral:rRNA from 1 species